CUGAAGAGUUUGAUCCUGGCUCAGAUUGAACGCUGGCGGCAGGCCUAACACAUGCAAGUCGAGCGGUAACAGAGAGUAGCUUGCUACUUUGCUGACGAGCGGCGGACGGGUGAGUAAUGCUUAGGAAUCUGCCAUUUAGUGGGGGACAACAUUCCGAAAGGGAUGCUAAUACCGCAUACGCCCUACGGGGGAAAGCAGGGGAUCUUCGGACCUUGCGCUAAUAGAUGAGCCUAAGUCAGAUUAGCUAGUUGGUGGGGUAAAGGCCUACCAAGGCGACGAUCUGUAGCGGGUCUGAGAGGAUGAUCCGCCACACUGGGACUGAGACACGGCCCAGACUCCUACGGGAGGCAGCAGUGGGGAAUCUUAGACAAUGGGCGCAAGCCUGAUCUAGCCAUGCCGCGUGUGUGAUGAAGGUCUUAGGAUCGUAAAGCACUUUCGCCAGGGAUGAUAAUGACAGUACCUGGUAAAGAAACCCCGGCUAACUCCGUGCCAGCAGCCGCGGUAAUACGGAGGGGGUUAGCGUUGUUCGGAAUUACUGG
rnacentral:rRNA from 1 species